GGCUCUGUAGUGUAGUGGUUAUCACAGCGGAUUCUGAUCUCUGUAUAGAUUGACAAUGUUCCGCUAACCGAGGUUCGAGUCCUCGCUGGGCCU